rnacentral:rRNA from 1 species
CCUACGGGAGGCAGCAGUGAGGAAUUUUGGUCAAUGGACGCAAGUCUGAACCAGCCAUGUCGCGUGAAGGAGGACGGCCCUAAGGGUUGUAAACUUCUUUUGCAGUGGAAUAAAGUUUGCCACGUGUUGGCGAUUUGCAAGUACGCUGCGAAUAAGGAUCGGCUAACUCCGUGCCAGCAGCCGCGGUAAUACGGAGGAUCCAGGCGUUAUCCGGAUUUAUUGGGUUUAAAGGGUGCGCAGGCGGGGAAUUAGGUCGGCGGUGAAAUUUCGGGGCUCAACCUCGACAGUGCCGUUGAAACCGUUUCUCUUGAGUGCGGAUGAGGUAGGCGGAUUUGUGGUGCAGCGGUGAAAUGCGUAGAUAUCACAAGGAACACCGAUUGCGGAGGCAGCUUACUAAACCGUUACUGACGCUCAUGCACGAAGGCGUGGGGAUCAAACAGGAUUAGAUACCCUGGUAGUCCACGCAGUAAACGAUGAUUACUUGCUGUUUGCGAUACACAGUAAGCGGCGUAGCGAAAGCGUUAAGUAAUCCACCUGGGGAGUACGUUCGCAAGAAUGAAACUCAAAUGAAUUGACGG